GACGAACGCUGGCGGCGUGCUUAACACAUGCAAGUCGAACGAUGAAGCCCAGCUUGCUGGGUGGAAGAGUGGCGAACGGGUGAGUAACACGUGAGUAACCUGCCCUGAACUCUGGGAUAAGCACUGGAAACGGUGUCUAAUACUGGAUACGACCUAUCACCGCAUGGUGUGUGGGUGGAAAGAUUUAUCGGUUCUGGAUGGACUCGCGGCCUAUCAGCUAGAUGGUGAGGUAAUGGCUCACCAUGGCGACGACGGGUAGCCGGCCUGAGAGGGUGACCGGCCACACUGGGACUGAGACACGGCCCAGAGUCCUACGGGAGGCAGCAGUGGGGAAUAUUGCACAAUGGGCGCAAGCCUGAUGCAGCAACGCCGCGUGAGGGAUGACGGCCUUCGGGUUGUAAACCUCUUUUAGUAGGGAAGAAGCGAAAGUGACGGUACCUGCAGAAAAAGCACCGGCUAACUACGUG
rnacentral:rRNA from 1 species